rnacentral:lncRNA from 1 species
UUUGCUUUUUUCAACUGGUCUCAUUCUCGAGACCGUAAUCCCGUGUGGGCUCAGUUGGGAUAGGUGAGUCUAGGAGGGUCUCACUUGCACAUUUGAAGUAUCAUUUGCAAUUCUGGGAGUGACUGGGACAGCUCACUUCUCUUUUUCACACGGUCUUCCAUUCGGGUCUUUUUUACAGCAUACUAACUACUGAGUUCCAAGAAAAUGGGAGCAGGAGUCACAAGGCCCCUUGAAGCUGAGGCUCAGAAGCCUGCACAGAGACACAGCCAUUGCAGUGUUUAAACCAAAGCCAGUCACUUGGCCAGCCCAGAGAUGGAGUCUUGCUCUGUCACCCAGGCUGGAGUGCAGUGGCGCGAGCUCAGCUCACUGCAACUCCGUCUCCCAAGUUCAAGUGAUUCUCCUGCCUCAGCCUCCCGAGUAGCUGGGAUUACAUGCACCUGCCACCACACUCAGACGGAGUCUUGCUUUGUCAUCCAGGCUGGAGUAUAAUGAUGGAAUCUCGGCUCACUGCAACCUCUGCCUGCCUCCCAGGUUCAAGCAAUUACCAGGCCUCAGCCUCCUGAGUAGCUGACAGGUGCACACCGUGCCUGGCUAAUUUUUUUGUAUUUUUAGUAGAGAUGGGGUUUCACCAUGUUGACCAGGCUGGUCUUGAACUCCUGACCUCAAGUGAUCUGCCCACCUCGGCCUCCCAAAGUGCAGGGACUACAGGUGUGAGCCACUGUGCCUGGUCAUUAUUCUAAUCUUCAUUACCAUGCAUUUGUUUGCUUGCUAACUUUAUAUAAAUAAAAUCAUACAGUAUAUACUUUUGGAGUCUGGGUUUUCUCCUAAUAUAAUAUUCUUGACCCAAGUGUUAUUUAAUAACGUGUGUUUUAAUUUCUAGGUGAAAAGUCCUUUUUGGUUUUUGAUCUUGUUAAUUUUUGCAUUUUAGUCAAAGAAUAUUAUGUAUAUUAUUUCCUCUUCUUUUUUUAAAACAACCAAGUAAUCAAGUUUUAGUUAGUAUCAGCAGCAUGUUUGCCAUUUUCCAGUGCUUCUCAUCCCUUCAUGCAUUACCAUACUUCCAUCUGAAAUAAUUUCUAUUUUGCCAAAAGAACUUAAUUUGGUAUUUCUUUUAGUUUAGACUUGCUGACUAUGAAUUCUCUUAGGUUUUGUUUGUCUGAAAUCAUUUUUAUUUUACCUUCUUUCUAGAAGAUUAUU